rnacentral:rRNA from 1 species
GAUGAACGCUGGCGGCGUGCCUCAAACAUGCAAGUCGAGCGGGGCUAUGUAAUAUCGCAAGGUAGAACAUAGCCUAGCGGCGAACGGGUGAGUAACACGUGGGUAACCUGCCUGGAAGACAGGGAUAACGAUUCGAAAGGGUCGCUAAUACCUGAUAAUAUCCUUUCAUCGCAUGGUGAUAGGAAGAAAGGGGAAACCCGCUUUCAGAUGGGCCCGCGUCCCAUCAGCUAGUUGGUAAGGUAAAGGCUUACCAAGGCGACGACGGGUAGCCGGUCUGAGAGGAUGUACGGCCACACUGGGACUGAGAUACGGCCCAGACUCCUACGGGAGGCAGCAGUUGGGAAUCUUAGGCAAUGGACGAAAGUCUGACCUAGCGACGCCGCGUGAGGGAAGAAGGGCCUUCGGGUUGUAAACCUCGUGUCAUGGGGGAAGAAGUAAGUGACGGUACCCCAAGAGGAAGCCCCUGCUAACUACGUG